rnacentral:rRNA from 1 species
CACGUAGGGUGCGAGCGUUGUCCGGAAUUAUUGGGCGUAAAGAGCUCGUAGGCGGUUUGUCGCGUCUGCCGUGAAAGUCCGGGGCUCAACUCCGGAUCUGCAGUGGGUACGGGCAGACUAGAGUGAUGUAGGGGAGACUGGAAUUCCUGGUGUAGCGGUGAAAUGCGCAGAUAUCAGGAGGAACACCGAUGGCGAAGGCAGGUCUCUGGGCAUUAACUGACGCUGAGGAGCGAAAGCAUGGGGAGCGAACAGG